GAACGGGUGAGUAACACGUGGGCAACCUGCCCAAAAGAGGGGGAUAACACUUGGAAACAGGUGCUAAUACCGCAUAACCAUAGUUACCGCAUGGUAACUAUGUAAAAGGUGGCUAUGCUACCGCUUUUGGAUGGGCCCGCGGCGCAUUAGCUAGUUGGUGGGGUAAAGGCUUACCAAGGCAAUGAUGCGUAGCCGAACUGAGAGGUUGAUCGGCCACAUUGGGACUGAGACACGGCCCAAACUCCUACGGGAGGCAGCAGUAGGGAAUCUUCCACAAUGGGCGAAAGCCUGAUGGAGCAACGCCGCGUGGGUGAAGAAGGUCUUCGGAUCGUAAAACCCUGUUGUUAGAGAAGAAAGUGCGUGAGAGUAACUGUUCACGUUUCGACGGUAUCUAACCAGAAAGCCACGGCUAACUACGUGCCAGCAGCCGCGGUAAUACGUAGGUGGCAAGCGUUAUCCGGAUUUAUUGGGCGUAAAGGGAACGCAGGCGGUCUUUUAAGUCUGAUGUGAAAGCCUUCGGCUUAACCGGAGUAGUGCAUUGGAAACUGGGAGACUUGAGUGCAGAAGAGGAGAGUGGAACUCCAUGUGUAGCGGUGAAAUGCGUAGAUAUAUGGAAGAACACCAGUGGCGAAAGCGGCUCUCUGGUCUGUAACUGACGCUGAGGUUCGAAAGCGUGGGUAGCAAACAGGAUUAGAUACCCUGGUAGUCCACGCCGUAAACGAUGAAUGCUAAGUGUUGGAGGGUUUCCGCCCUUCAGUGCUGCAGCUAACGCAAUAAGCAUUCCGCCUGGGGAGU
rnacentral:rRNA from 1 species